UCUCUGGUAGUAUAUCGGAUAGUACACCCGCCUGUCAUGUGACCGCGGGAGAGCGGGGUUCGACUCCCCGCCAGAGAG